UUUUAAGGGGAGCUUUGAAAAUCUGGAGGCAAUAAGGCAGGCAGGAGUAAAGUGCCCACUACUGUGCAAAGAAUUUGUUAUAGAUGCGUGGCAGAUCUACUAUGCCCGAAUUAAAGGUGCAGAUGCGAUUCUUUUAAUUGCUGCUGUAUUGCCUGAUCUUGACAUCAGAUACAUGGUCAAAAUCUGCAAAAUGCUUGGUUUGGCAGCACU
rnacentral:misc_RNA from 1 species